rnacentral:rRNA from 1 species
UACGUUCGUUGGGUAGGGGAGCGUUCUGUAAGCCUGUGAAGGUGUGUCGUGAGGCAUGCUGGAGGUAUCAGAAGUGCGAAUGCUGACAUAAGUAACGAUAAAGCGGGUGAAAAGCCCGCUCGCCGGAAGACCAAGGGUUCCUGUCCAACGUUAAUCGGGGCAGGGUGAGUCGACCCCUAAGGCGAGGCCGAAAGGCGUAGUCGAUGGGAAACGGGUUAAUAUUCCCGUACUUGGUGUUACUGCGAAGGGGGGACGGAGAAGGCUAUGUUGGCCGGGCGACGGUUGUCCCGGUUUAAGCGUGUAGGUGUGUGUUCCAGGUAAAUCCGGUUCACUUUAACACUGAGGCGUGACGACGAGGCACUACGGUGCUGAAGCAACAAAUGCCCUGCUUCCAGGAAAAGCCUCUAAGCAUCAGGUAACAUCAAAUCGUACCCCAAACCGACACAGGUGGUCAGGUAGAGAAUACCAAGGCGCUUGAGAGAACUCGGGUGAAGGAACUAGGCAAAAUGGUGCCGUAACUUCGGGAGAAGGCACGCUGACACGUAGGUGAAGUGAUUUACUCAUGGAGCUGAAGUCAGUCGAAGAUACCAGCUGGCUGCAACUGUUUAUUAAAAACACAGCACUGUGCAAACACGAAAGUGGACGUAUACGGUGUGACGCCUGCCCGGUGCCGGAAGGUUAAUUGAUGGGGUCAGCGCAAGCGAAGCUCCUGAUCGAAGCCCCGGUAAACGGCGGCCGUAACUAUAACGGUCCUAAGGUAGCGAAAUUCCUUGUCGGGUAAGUUCCGACCUGCACGAAUGGCGUAAUGAUGGCCAGGCUGUCUCCACCCGAGACUCAGUGAAAUUGAACUCGCUGUGAAGAUGCAGUGUACCCGCGGCAAGACGGAAAGACCCCGUGAACCUUUACUAUAGCUUGACACUGAACAUUGAGCCUUGAUGUGUAGGAUAGGUGGGAGGCUUUGAAGCGUGGACGCCAGUCUGCAUGGAGCCGACCUUGAAAUACCACCCUUUAAUGUUUGAUGUUCUAACGUGGACCCGUGAUCCGGGUUGCGGACAGUGUCUGGUGGGUAGUUUGACUGGGGCGGUCUCCUCCUAAAGAGUAACGGAGGAGCACGAAGGUUGGCUAAUCCUGGUCGGACAUCAGGAGGUUAGUGCAAUGGCAUAAGCCAGCUUGACUGCGAGCGUGACGGCGCGAGCAGGUGCGAAAGCAGGUCAUAGUGAUCCGGUGGUUCUGAAUGGAAGGGCCAUCGCUCAACGGAUAAAAGGUACUCCGGGGAUAACAGGCUGAUACCGCCCAAGAGUUCAUAUCGACGGCGGUGUUUGGCACCUCGAUGUCGGCUCAUCACAUCCUGGGGCUGAAGUAGGUCCCAAGGGUAUGGCUGUUCGCCAUUUAAAGUGGUACGCGAGCUGGGUUUAGAACGUCGUGAGACAGUUCGGUCCCUAUCUGCCGUGGGCGCUGGAGAACUGAGGGGGGCUGCUCCUAGUACGAGAGGACCGGAGUGGACGCAUCACUGGUGUUCGGGUUGUCAUGCCAAUGGCACUGCCCGGUAGCUAAAUGCGGAAGAGAUAAGUGCUGAAAGCAUCUAAGCACGAAACUUGCCCCGAGAUGAGUUCUCCCUGAGACUUAGAGUCUCCUGAAGGAACGUUGAAGACGACGACGUUGAUAGGCCGGGUGUGUAAGCGCAGCGAUGCGUUGAGCUAACCGGUACUAAUGAACCGUGAGGCUUAACCUUACAACGCCGAAG